AUGGCCUGCUGCCCCCGACGCCAGCACCGCAGAGCACGGCCCCCCGCAAGGAAACCCCGGCAGGAAGCAGCCCUUGGAGCCUGUGGCACAGGUCAGCCCAAGUCCGCGCCCUCAGUCACUCUGUUCGCUCCCUCCACUGAGGAGCUCAAGGUCAACAAGGCCACCCUGGUGUGUCUCAUCAAUGACUUCUACCCGGGCAGCGUGACGGUGGCCUGGAAGGCAGGCAGCACCGCCAUAACCAGGGGCGUGGAGACCGCCCAGCCCUUGAAGCAGAGCAACAGCAAGUACGCGGCCAGCAGCUACCUGGCCCUGACGGCCAGCGAGUGGAAAUCUUACGACAGGGUCAGCUGCCAAGUCACACACGAGGGGAGCACCGUGGAGAAGACAGUGGCGUCCUCAGGGUGCCCUUAG